rnacentral:rRNA from 1 species
UACAGAGGUGGCAAGCGUUGUUCGGAAUUACUGGGCGUAUAGGGCGCGUAGGCGGCCCACUAAGCCAGACGUGAAAUCCCCCGGCUUAACCUGGGAACUGCGUCUGAUACUGGAGGGCUUGAGUAUGGGAGAGGGAUGUAGAAUUCCAGGUGUAGCGGUGAAAUGCGUAGAUAUCUGGAGGAAUACCGGUGGCGAAGGCGGCAUCCUGGACCAUUACUGACGCUGAGGCGCGAAAGCUAGGGGAGCAAACGGG